AAGCAGCUCGCCAGCAUUUUGACUGACAUCCCAAACUCUAUGAGCUGCCACCCUGCAUCCAAAGACUCUCCAACCUUGCCCGAGUUCUCAGCCACAGAUAUGGGUUUCUACAGAGGACCGACGGGGGGGGCACAGCCAACAUGAGUACUAUCAGAGCCAGACCUACUCACAAUCUAUAAAACCCCUACUCGUACCACCAGUUUAACCCGAACGGAAUCGGGGGCCCGGGGGCCUACCCGACAAAGUCAGAAUACACCUACAGCAACUCAUACAAGCAAUACGGGCAUUAUAAACAGGGAGCUGCAGACACCACCCAAGGACACUGGUAAGUCUGAACUUUCCACAAAUAUAAACCCAUGUAGACUAUGAUAAUGUAAUCUUUAAUAUGAGCUUUCAACAUCAGCAAAACAUAUUCAUUUUUCCUUAAACCAGCCCUUGGACUAUCAGAGAAAAGCAGCUUGCUUACUAGAGCUUAUAGGUUUUCACUGUAUCUUACAUAGCUUUUUUAACAUAGCUUAUAUGUCCCUCUAUACUUUAUCUGAAAACAUAUCAUAUGUCCAAUGAUUUAAGAAUACUCACAUUUAUUACUUUUGUAGUUUCAUUUUGAAUACCCUCCCCCCCUUUGGUGAAACUGAAAUGUUGAGUGUGUACGGUAGCUGUUGCUAAUAUGUGGUUCAUUUUAUCCAUCACACUGUAUCGUUAUGUAUAUGCUGCACCUGUACAUUGUUUGGAAAGCAAGGAAUAGAGAACUCACGUGGUCAUGCACACGCUCUCGGUUCAGUCCCUGAAUGAUGGUGUCCUCAUUGUCUUCAACAGACUAUGAUAACACCAUCAUUCAGGGACUGAACCGAGAGCGUGUGCAUGACCACGUGAGUUCUCUAUUCCUUGCUUUCCAAACAAUGUACAGGUGCAGCAUAUACAUAACGAUACAGUGUGAUGGAUAAAAUGAACCACAUAUUAGCAACAGCUACC
rnacentral:lncRNA from 1 species